rnacentral:misc_RNA from 1 species
CUCAUAUGCAUAUAUAUAUAUAUUUUUUUGGAAGCCCUGCAACAUUUUUUUUCGAAGCACUGCAACAUUUAGAUGAACAAAAGGUAUUAUCAGAAUGAAUACAAUUUGUUAGGAAGAACCAAAUUCAUCUCAAAACUAUCCUGUAAAUAUUCUCAUAUCAAACCCACUGCAUUAUCUGCCUGUAUAUGGAGAGCUUGAAGGUCGUCUUCUCUCUCUCUCUGUAAAUGUACAUGUGAUCUAAUAUUCAUCUCUCUACUUUUGAUCCUGCUCCAUGUGAAUUUUUGCUGAUAUAGAUGAUGCGAAGUCGUGUCAAGUGGCAGUGACCUCCAUAUUGCUAAUUUCCUCGACAAACUGUGCUUUAGGCUCCAAAUCUAUGAACUGGUUGGACUUGCUGGCCAGACGUGAUAUGCUAACCCUCCCUUGACGCUUGAUAUAGUCAGCAACAGCUUUCAUCUCUUCCUGUGAGAUGUAUAUAUAUUUUCCUCUAUCAUCCAUGACACCGGAAAGUCGCCCUAAUGAAAAGUAAAUCCAACAUUAAAUGUCUCUCCAAGAAUGUUGACAAGUCUGUCUCAUGAACUUCAAAACCACGCUGCAAAGUAUAUUUUACUUUCACGUAAAAGAAAUGACGAGGUAAAUACAAAACUCAUCCUAUGCUGAAAAUAUGUGGGUUAAACCUAAAUUAAACACAACAGAAAGGAAUACACUACCGUCCAAUGAUAAUGGCAGACUAAUAGCUUACCUUCGUUUGCAAGUUUACUUCCAAAGAUGAAACUAAAAGUAGGUGGUAGCUUGUAAUUGAUAUCCAAAAGGGUUAUUUCCCAAGACGAAACUAAAACUAAGUGGUAGACUAUAAUUGAUAUCCAAUAUCAUAAUCCAAAUAAGCUAUAGAAAAGUUGUAUAAGUUUGCUUUACACAGGAGAGUGGAAUUUUUGUGUCUUCAGCCACAAUAUGUCGCAACAAACCUUAUGGAAUGGCAAUACGUACCUUACAAAGAAGACAAAGAAGAAGGUAUGGCAUAGAACUUACCCAUAGUUUCCAGGGAGCUUAUCCGAUUAAUACAUUCCUGCAUUAGCCAAAAGUGCAUGGAAAAUUACAAAGCAAAUAUUUGCACUAACCAAAGCGAUGAGACAGUUAAAAUUUACAAUCAUAAUUAGUACUUGAAAAGUGAGGCGUAAAGAUACAAAAAGUAAUUUGACGGACUAUAGGAACAUGAAAUUAGCUGUAUCAAUUGCUCAACUCAACUCAAUUCAAUACAAUUGCUCAAACUACUGCAUCCUGAACAAGGAAAUAAGGGGCAGAAAAUGAGGAAGGCAAAAGAGAAGAAAGAAGGAAAUUGGGGAGAGGUGGAGGCACAAGUUGAAAGAGUACCUGAGUCCUCAGCUUGAAUUCUGCAGCAAGAUCUUCUAAGGGAAUGCAUUUUUGUCUCUGCAAGAUGAUAUUGAACAAAAGCAAAACGUUCAGCACUGUAACAAUCUGGACUUAGAAUCCUCAUCAUUACCAACAAUAUAUUCGUAGAUUCGGAGUAUAACAUUGUAUACAGUUGCAGAUGCAUGAAUUUAAGGUGUUUUCAAGUGCUAGUUAAAAUCAUUCAUAUUUGAUGGACAUAUUAAUUUUCUUGUAAGAAACAAAGAAACAGAAAACUGAAAAUAACUGCUGCACUGGAUUUUAACAAGUUACUAACAGGAAAAAUCAACCGGUGUUAAAUGAUAGAACCCCUGAUGCUAAGAGUCUGGUAAGUGAGGAUUAUGGGACCUUUAUGUAUUCCACAAACUCAGAUAGCAAAUCUUGAUUUCCAUCUUGCACUUCAUUUUCUGUUGUUCCUUCAGCAUCAACUGAAAACUCCCCUUUCCAUUUCUCGAACUCUAAUGCAGCUGCUUCCUCCUCUUUGGCCUUUCGAGCCUUGGCUUCUUCUUCCAGCAUACGCUCUUUUGCCUCACGCUCUUCGUCCUUCCUCCUGUGCAUUUCUGCAUAGCGCUCUUGUUUGGUCUGCCUUGAUUCACGUGCAGCUUCUUCAGCCUGUCUUUGUGCUUCUCGCUCUUGCCGUUUCUUCUCUUUCUUUGUUGAUGCUCCAGCCUCAUAAUGUUGACCCGCAACAGCUUCAUCAUCACUCUCAUCAACAGCAUCUUCAACGGUUGCUUCAGCAGCUCUUGAUGAGCUAGCUCCAGCUGCUGGUCUUCGACGCAUCCGCCGAGCACCAGUGGCACGCACCACAUUUUCCCUCUGCCGAACCUGAAGCUCUUCUUGAUGUUCAUCAGGUGAUCGAGAAUCCUGACGACGCUUCCAUAAAUAUAAUGGAAUCAGAGCAACAAGAAGAAGCAUAGAAAGAAUUGCAACAAAUAAUUCCUCCAUAUUUCAAUCCUUUUCUGCCAAAAAAAAAAAAAUAGUAAGUCGUACAAAUUUAGUAUCUGUUUGGUGACUGAGAAAACAAUGAAAAGAGGCUUUCAAUUUCAUUUUCAUGGAAAGCGAAACAUUAAACUUGAGCAAUAAAUAUUUAGAAUUUGCCAAUUUUUCAAGUGAUUUUCUCGGCAACAGAACAAGAAAAGAG